AUACGGAGGGUGCAAGCGUUACUCGGAAUCACUGGGCGUAAAGGAUGCGUAGGCGGAUAAUCAAGUCAAAAGUGAAAUCCUACAGCUUAACUGUAGAACUGCUUUCGAAACUGGUUAUCUAGAAUAUGGAAGAGGCAGAUGGAAUUAGUGGUGUAGGGGUAAAAUCCGUAGAGAUCACUAGGAAUACCGAUUGCGAAGGCGGUCUGCUGGGACAUUAUUGACGCUGAGGCAUGAAAGCGCGGGGAGCAAACAGGAUUAGAAACCCUAGUAGUCC
rnacentral:rRNA from 1 species